rnacentral:rRNA from 1 species
CAGCAGUAGCCGCGGUAAUACGUAGGGUGCGAGCGUUAAUCGGAAUUACUGGGCGUAAAGCGUGCGCAGGCGGUUCGUUAAGACAGAUGUGAAAUCCCCGGGCUUAACCUGGGAACUGCAUUUGUGACUGACGGGCUAGAGUAUGGCAGAGGGGGGUAGAAUUCCACGUGUAGCAGUGAAAUGCGUAGAGAUGUGGAGGAAUACCGAUGGCGAAGGCAGCCCCCUGGGCCAAUACUGACGCUCAUGCACGAAAGCGUGGGGAGCAAACAGGAUUAGAGACCCCAGUAGUCCCUGUCUCUUAUAC